rnacentral:rRNA from 1 species
AUCCUGGCUCAGGAUGAACGCUAGCUACAGGCUUAACACAUGCAAGUCGAGGGGAAACGAUAUUGGAAGCUUGCUUCUGAUAGGCGUCGACGGUCGCACGGGUGAGUAACGCGUAUCCAACCUGCCCAUCACUUGGGGGAUAACCCUUUGUGAAAGUUAAGGCUAAUACCCAAUGACGUCUCUAGAAGACAUCUCGAAAGAGAUUUAAAGAUUUAUCGGUGAUGGAUGGGGAUGCGUCUGAUUAGCUUGUUGGCGGGGUAACGGCCCACCAAGGCGACGAUCAGUAGGGGUUCUGAGAGAAGGUCCCCCACAUUGGAACUGAGACACGGUCCAAACUCCUACGGGAGGCAGCAGUGAGGAAUAUUGGGUCAAUGGACGAGAGUCUGAACCAGCCAAGUAGCGUGCAGGAUGACGGCCCUAUGGGUUGUAAACUGCUUUUAUAAGGGAAUAAAGUGGGAGUCGUGACUCUUUUUGCAUGUACCUUAUGAAUAAGGACCGGCUAAUUCCGUG